rnacentral:ncRNA from 1 species
GGCAGCAAGAUGGAAUCUGAAGAAGCUGGCGGCAAAUCGUUGGUCCGGUGAACAGAAACCGCAUACAAGACAGGCGUAAUCGGGUAAGGCUGAUCUAUAAACCGAGGCCCAAAACUAUUCGAGGCCAAUUCUGUAGAUGUGGCAGACAGAUGAAAAGAAAGACUGCAUU